GAUGAACGCUGGCGGCGUGUCUAACACAUGCAAGUCGAACGGAGAUUACGGACGGAAGUUUUCGGAUGGAAGCCUGUAAUUCUUAGUGGCGGACGGGUGAGUAACGCGUGGGCAACCUGCCCUAUACAGGGGGAUAGCAGCUGGAAACGGCUGGUAAGACCGCAUAAGUCGGUUAAAUCGCAUGAUUUGAUCGGGAAAUGAGCAAUCAGGUAUAGGAUGGGCCCGCGUCCGAUUAGCCAGUUGGCAGGGUAAAAGCCUACCAAAGCGACGAUCGGUAGCCGGACUGAGAGGUCGGACGGCCACAUUGGGACUGAGACACGGCCCAAACUCCUACGGGAGGCAGCAGUGGGGGAUAUUGCACAAUGGAGGAAACUCUGAUGCAGCGACGCCGCGUGAGUGAAGAAGUAUUUCGGUAUGUAAAGCUCUAUCAGCAGGGAAGAUGAUGACGGUACCUGACUAAGAAGCCCCGGCUAACUACGUG
rnacentral:rRNA from 1 species